rnacentral:rRNA from 1 species
UUACCCCCCGUGAAUCAGCAUAUCCAUAAGCGGAGGAAAAGAAACCAACCGGGAUUGCCCUAGUAACGGCGAGUGAAGCGGCAAGAGCUCAAAUUUGAAAGCUGGCCCCCUCGGGGUCCGCAUUGUAAUUUGCAGAGGAUGCUUCGGGAGCGGUCCCCAUCUAAGUGCCCUGGAACGGGCCGUCAUAGAGGGUGAGAAUCCCGUAUGGGAUGGGGUGCCCGCGCCCGUGUGAAGCUCCUUCGACGAGUCGAGUUGUUUGGGAAUGCAGCUCUAAUUGGGUGGUAAAUUUCAUCUAAAGCUAAAUAUUGGCCGGAGACCGAUAGCGCACAAGUAGAGUGAUCGAAAGAUGAAAAGCACUUUGAAAAGAGAGUUAAACAGCACGUGAAAUUGUUGAAAGGGAAGCGCUUGCGAUCAGACUCGCCCACGGGGUUCAGCCGGCAUUCGUGCCGGUGUACUUCCCCGCGGGCGGGCCAGCGUCGGUUUGGGCGGUCGGUCAAAGGCCCCUGGAAUGUAACGCCUCUCGGGGCGUCUUAUAGCCAGGGGUGCCAUGCGACCUGCCCGGACCGAGGAACGCGCUUCGGCUCGGACGCUGGCAUAAUGGUCGUAAGCGACCCGUCUUGAAACACGGACCAAGGAGUCUAACAUCUACGCGAGUGUUCGGGUGUCAAACCCGUGCGCGCAGUGAAAGCGAACGGAGGUGGGAACCCUCACGGGUGCACCAUCGACCGAUCCUGAUGUCUUCGGAUGGAUUUGAGUAAGAGCGUAGCUGUUGGGACCCGAAAGAUGGUGAACUAUGCCUGAAUAGGGCGAAGCCAGAGGAAACUCUGGUGGAGGCUCGCAGCGGUUCUGACGUGCAAAUCGAUCGUCAAAAUUUGGGUAUAGGGGCGAAAGACUAAUCGAACCAUCUAGUAGCUGGUUCCUGCCGAAGUUCCCCCUCAGAAA